CAAUAGCGUAUAUUAAAGUUGUUGCGGUUAAAACGCUCGUAGUUGGAUUUCUGUUGAGGGCAGCCGGUCCGCACUUCGUGCGUGUAUCUGGUUUGACCUCGGCAUCCUCUCAAAAUACGUUUCUGCGCUUGAUUGCGUGGAGCGGAGUUUGAGACUUUUACUUUGAGGAAAUUAGAGUGUUCACGGCAGGCAAUCGCCUUGAAUAUAUUAGCAUGGAAUAAUAAUAUAGGAUCUUGGUUCUAUUUUGUUGGUUUCUAGAGCUAAGAUAAUGAUUAAUAGGGACAAUUGGGGGCAUUCGUAUUAACGCGUCAGAGGUGGAAUUCUUGGAUUGCGUUACGACGAACUACUGCGAAAGCAUUUGCCAAGGAUGUUUUCAUUG
rnacentral:rRNA from 1 species